UGCAAGACCUCGGCAUACUGCUCAGUUAACACGUGGACAACCUAACCUAAGGAGGGGGAUAACCCCGGGAAACUGGGGAUAAUACCCCAUAGACUAUGGGUGCUGGAAUGCUCUGUAGUUGAAAGGUCCGCCGCCAUAGGAUGGGUCUGCGGCCGAUUAGGUUGUUGUUGGGGUAACGGCCCAACAAGCCUGUAAUCGGUACGGGUUGUGGGAGCAAGAGCCCGGAGAUGGAUUCUGAGACACGAAUCCAGGCCCUACGGGGCGCAGCAGGCGCGAAAACUUUACAAUGCGGGAAACCGUGAUAAGGGAACUCCGAGUGCCCGUAAAAUCGGGCUGUCCAUCAGUGCAAAUAACUGGUGAAGAAAGGGCCGGGCAAGACCGGUGCCAGCCGCCGCGGUAAUACCGGCGGCUCGAGUGGUGGCCACUAUUACUGG
rnacentral:rRNA from 1 species